AUGCUGCUCACUUCGGCCUCCCAAAGUGCUGGAUUUCUGAGUUUCACCGCGGUUCGGCCUGUUUUUGUUUUUUAAUUUGGUCUCACUCUGUCACCCAGGCUGGAGUGCAGUGGUGCAAUCUCAGCUCACUGCAACCUCCACCUCCCAGGCUCAAGCAAUCCUCAUCCUCCCACCUCAGCCUCCCGAGUAGCUAGGACCAAAAGCGCAUGCCACUACACCUGGCUAAUUUUUUUUUUCUUUUUUUCUUCUUUCUUUUUUUUUAAAUAUUUUUUUGGUAGAGAUAUGAUCUCUCUAGGUUGCCCAGGUUGGUCUUGAACGCUGGGCUCAAGUGAUCUGCCGCCUCAGCCUCCCAAAGUGCUGGAAUGACAGGCGUGAGCCACCGAGCCCAGCCUCUAUGACUUACUUCUUUCGGUCAACACUGUAUUUUCAGGAUUUAUCCAUGUUGAUGACUUGAGCUGUAGUUUACUAAUUUUCAUUGCUGUAUUUCACAACAUCCCCUCCACAUCCCAAGCUGAAGGAGGAGGGGAUGGCAAAAUUUGGGUUACAUUUGGGAGUAGGUGGGUUUGGCCAGUGAGUUCUCCCAGAUCUGUCAGGGAUGGGUGUUUUGGCCCAGCGACAGCUUCCUCAGCAGUGUUCAGGCCUCUGCGGGAGGGAGGGACCACGCGGCCUCUCCUUCCUGCAGAUCUGAGAUACCAUGGUUUGCUGUUGGGCUGAUUCCAGUCUUCUCAGGAUGCUUGAGGGACAGGGAGAAAGAUGUUCAUGUUGGAGCUGCCUCUCUAGGGAAUUUGAAAGCAGAAGUGAGGAGCUUCCCGCUGGAGGCCAAAGCAAUGAGAGAAGCUGGGUGAUUCAGUCCCCAAGUUUUCAAAGGGCUCUGUGGUCCAUAGGCAAGGACAGAAGAGAUGGAAUUUCAGGAAGGUCCUCUCUGAGUUGGCUUUUCUGGGCACCUGAGUUGGGGUGGAGAUGAGAAAUGGCAUGGGGAGCAGCCAACCAGCUGGCCUCUAUUUGCAUAUUCAUAAGCCCCCCAUGCUGGUUGGCUGCGCUAAGCAGUCCCCACUGUCCCCAGAGUCAGCGGCUGCAGCAAGACUGGGUCUGUCAGACAGUGCCUUGUGCUAAGAAGGGGCCAGAGGCUCCCCUUACCCAGCCACGGGCACCCGGCCUGCCUGGAGAGGAAGCAGGGAAACCAGAAGCACUUCCUGACCAUGGUUCUGUCUGCCCAAGGCUGGUGAAGAGUGGGCUGCUCCGUCUUCUAGGGUGGUUGGCCCCACCUGGCCACAGAGCCCAAGACAAGGACCUCCCGGAGGAUCUCUUCCCUACGACCUGUUCCAGGAGGGCAGACUAUACUGAUCUUGCUCACUCCAUGUGCCCAGAAGAAGGCCCGACACACAGCAGGUGCUCUUUAAACAGUUGUUCAAUACAUAGUUGAACAUUGAAUGAGUAAUCUGAUUUUUCCAAGAGUUAGGACGGCAAUGGUUUUUUUUUUUCUUUUUCUUUUUUUUUUAUUUUUAAGACAGAGUUUCACUCUGUUGCCCAGGCUAGAGCGCAAUGGUACAAUCUCGGCUCACUGCAACCUCUGCCUCCCAGGUUCAAGUAAUUCUCCUGCCUCAGCCUCCCGAGUUGCUAGGACUACAGGUGCAUGUCACCACACCCAGAUAAU
ensembl:lncRNA